rnacentral:tRNA from 1 species
GGGCACGUGGUGAAAUUGGUAUACACGUUGGAUUUAGGUUCCAAUGCCUUCGGCGUGAGGGUUCGAGUCCCUCCGUGCCCACCA